GAUGAACGCUGGCGGCGUGCCUAAUACAUGCAAGUCGAGCGAACAGACGAGGAGCUUGCUCCUCUGACGUUAGCGGCGGACGGGUGAGUAACACGUGGAUAACCUACCUAUAAGACUGGGAUAACUUCGGGAAACCGGAGCUAAUACCAGAUCAUAUAUUGAACCGCAUGGUUCAAUAGUGAAAGACGGUUUUGCUGUCACUUAUAGAUGGAUCCGCGCCGCAUUAGCUAGUUGGUAAGGUAACGGCUUACCAAGGCGACGAUGCGUAGCCGACCUGAGAGGGUGAUCGGCCACACUGGAACUGAGACACGGUCCAGACUCCUACGGGAGGCAGCAGUAGGGAAUCUUCCGCAAUGGGCGAAAGCCUGACGGAGCAACGCCGCGUGAGUGAUGAAGGUCUUCGGAUCGUAAAACUCUGUUAUUAGGGAAGAACAAAUGUGUAAGUAACUAUGCACGUCUUGACGGUACCUAAUCAGAAAGCCACGGCUAACUACGUG
rnacentral:rRNA from 1 species